UACGUAGGGGGCAAGCGUUGUCCGGAAUCAUUGGGCGUAAAGCGCGUGUAGGCGGUUCGGUAAGUCGGCUGUGAAAGUCCAGGGCUCAACCCUGGGAUGCCGGUCGAUACUGCCGGACUAGAGUUCGGAAGAGGCGAGUGGAAUUCCCGGUGUAGCGGUGAAAUGCGCAGAUAUCGGGAGGAACACCAAUGGCGAAGGCAGCUCGCUGGGACGUUACGUGACGCUGAGA
rnacentral:rRNA from 1 species